UGGUCCGCGCGGGUCUCGGCCGAAGCUGGGCAGCAAAGGCGCUGAAGAGGCAGCCCCGUCCCUGCUGCCGGACUGGUAUACAUAUUCCCAGGUUGUGCUACUGCUAUCUGUGUCUUUAACAGGGUCCUCAAUCCAGACAGUUACAAGGGCAGUUACACCAGCGAAAAAUGAGUGGGCUUAGAUAAAAUAAGCACUAGAUGGCAUGUCCAAGGAUGCUCCCAAGCCUAUACAUUAUAUAAUGCUACACAGUUUCAAGGUACCUAAAGGAGCAUCUUCAGAGAGGAUCUACCUAUCACAUUUAAUCAGCCCAUGUGAAAUCAAGAGGAGAAUGGCCAUCAGACCAAGCCUUUUCUAUGGUGGCACCAUCCAUAUGAAAUUUGCUUCUCCCUGAAAUCUGUUGGACUGCUGUGUGUAAGGCCACCAAGACCUGACAUUUUAAUGAGCCAUCUGGAGUAUAAAACUAAACACAAGUUGUUAUUACCUCUUAAGGGUAUUUAUGCUAUAUUAUAUUUGCAUGACUAUCUUUAUUAUUUUAUAUUUAUGUAAACUAACUGAAGUCUUGGGAA